rnacentral:rRNA from 1 species
AACGAACGCUGGCGGCAUGCCUAACACAUGCAAGUCGAACGAGACCUUCGGGUCUAGUGGCGCACGGGUGCGUAACGCGUGGGAACCUGCCCUUAGGUUCGGAAUAACUCCCCGAAAGGGGUGCUAAUACCGGAUAAUGUCUUCGGACCAAAGAUUUAUCGCCUUUGGAUGGGCCCGCGUUGGAUUAGCUAGUUGGUAGGGUAAAAGCCUACCAAGGCGACGAUCCAUAGCUGGUCUGAGAGGAUGAUCAGCCACACUGGGACGGAGAAGCGGCCCAGACUCCUACGCGAGGCAGCAGUGGGGAAUAGUGGACAAUGGGCGAAAGCCUGAUGCAGCAAUGCCGGGUGAGUGAUGAAGGCCUUAGGGUUGUAAAGCUCUUUUACCCGGGAUGAUAAUGACAGUACCGGGAGAAUAAGCUCCGGCUAACUCCGUG